UACAGACUGAAAUCCUGUACAUCUCUCACUACCUCACAUCAACAGCCAAUUUGGGUCCAUCAUGCCAGCUUCAGAGAGGGACAAUUACCUCUCUGUCUUCUCUAAGAAAAACAGAUCAUACGAGUGAUUUUCUUCCGAAACCUUCAAAAAAUUUGAUUGUUGAUCAUGAGUACACCUGUACAGACGAAGUACACAUCCUCCUGAUAAGACCUGGCACAUUUACAAGCACAGUGUAUUUCACAGAAUCAUAGAACGGCACAGGUUGCAAGGAACCUUAAACAUCAUCACGUUCCAAGCUCCCUGACAUGGACAGGAUUGCCAGCCACAGGAUCAGGCUGCUCAGGGCCUCAUCCAACCUGGCCUUGAAUGCCUCCAGGGAUGGGGCAUCCACAUCUUACCUGUGCAGCCUGUUCCAGCACCUCACCACUCUCUCUGCUCACGUCUAUUGAGGUCAAGUCCAGGAUUGAGAAGUAAGAGACAAAAAGAAACGUAUAAACAUUUCCUUGCAUCAAAGCUGGAGCACAGCCCAAGCAAUUCAGCAAGUGAGAUCUCAGCUACUUCCACAGCCAAAUGGAGCAAUUUCACUCAAUCUGAAGAGCUCAGUCCUCCCCUACCAAGUGAAAUCCCCUCGAAAAUUCACAAUUGGCUGUUUUUAGUCGGUGUUAAAGCACCUUGCCUUAUAACAACAACCCAAGUACUAAUCCAUUAAAAGGAGAUUUAUCAAAUCAAGCGGCUCAAUUUACUUUCAAAAAUCUAGUUCUCCCUCAGUUUUGGUUUUUUUUUUUUCUUUUGCAUGUGUGUGCAUAAUAACAACUCUCCUCACUAAUAGCUGCUCCGUUGACUCAAUAUUUUGAGCAGCUUAAUUUCAGCCCCAGGAUUUCUGGACCAGAGCCACCAGAUUUUCUAAGUGCUGAGCCUUCAUUGUCUUCCAUUUAUAGACACAAGUACCAUGUAAGACAUUUUCAUCAAUUUUACGUGAUUUGUUUUAUUGAAAAGCCUGGAGUCUUCUGACGUGAUUGAUUUCCUGAAUUAUGUGCGUGCUGUAACUAUUUAUUAUUCUUUAAAAAAAUAAAAUUCCUAAGCCUCUUGUGCUCCUCAAGGUGAGUUGUUGCAUGUGUUUGCCCAGGUGGAAGGUUACCACGGCUACCUGACAUGGCUGAGCAGUA
ensembl:lncRNA